GUGCUUGCUUUGGCAGCACAUAUACUAAAAUUGGAACGAUACAGAAAAGAUUAGUAUGGCCCCUGCGCAAGGAUGACACACAAAUUCGUGAAGCAUUCUGUAUUUUU
rnacentral:snRNA from 1 species